GAAAAGGUCAACGGCAUUUGGGGAUGCCUGGAACUUAGUGACCCGAGCUAUAAGGUCACCUACGCAACCCUCUGGCUGUCCAGUCCCACCUCCAGAGGUGAGUCACAUCUGGGGGUAGGGGCAGUAAUGAGCAGCUGCUUCUCCCCCUCUCUGUGUGCAGCGCUGCCUCCAGGAUGGGCACAGGCAAUUUGAGGAAAUAUUCUGAGGAUUUAAGGUGAGGCCUGAAUGUGGUGAAGCUGCUCACACCACAUGAAGGGAAACAGAGGAACCGCUGGCUUGUGAGUGGUUAAAGCCACACCCGGCCCAUUUCAAAGAGCAUCUGGGACUUCCUAUCGUGGCUCGGUGGCAAUGAACCCAACUAGGAUCCAUGAGGACACAGGUUCGAUCCCUGGCCUCCCUCAGUGGGUUAAGGAUCCAUACGCUGCCGUGUAAGCCCCAGACACAGCUGGGAUCCUGUGUGGCUGUGGCUGUGGCUGUGGCCAGCAGAUGCAUCUCCUCACCUGGGAACCUCCAUGUGCCAUGGGUACAGCCCUCAAAAGACAAAAGACAACAACAACAACAGCCAGAAAGAGCGUUCUUCGUGGAGUGGAAAGCUUCCCGGCCAGUCCCUGCCUGGUUCUCUGAGGGGUGGCAGAAGAGCUGCUUUCGCUCCUUGAGGAAGGUGCUGAGCAUCCGGGCGAGGGGGUCAGAGGUCAGUGGGCCCUGACGGUCGCCCCAGACACAGUGGCCUCGGCCUUCUCCUGGCAUCCCCGUUCCACCUUAAAGAGAUAGCUGUUCCUCAGCACUCCUCUGGUAGAUCUGGGACAAGCCCUCUCCGCUGAUUCCUCAAGACUAAAUAAACAUGACAGUGAAUUUGGAAUUAGUCUUUGA
rnacentral:lncRNA from 1 species